GCCCCGGUAGCUCAGCUCGGUGAGAGCACCGGCUUGGUAAGCCGGGGGUCGCGGGUUCAAGUCCCGCCCGGGGCU
rnacentral:tRNA from 1 species